rnacentral:rRNA from 1 species
GUAGGGGGCAAGCGUUAUCCGGAUUUACUGGGUGUAAAGGGAGCGUAGACGGUGUGGCAAGUCUGAUGUGAAAGGCAUGGGCUCAACCUGUGGACUGCAGCGCGAACUGGUUUCCUUGAGUACGCACAAAGUGGGCGGAAUUCGUGGUGUAGCGGUGAAAUGCUUAGAUAUCACGAAGAACUCCGAUUGCGAAGGCAGCUCACUGGAGCGCAACUGACGCUGAAGCUCGAAAGUGCGGGUAUCGAACAGGAUUAGAUACCCUGGUAGUCCGCACGGUAAACGAUGGAUGCCCGCUGUUGGUCUGAAUAGGUCAGCGGCCAAGCGAAAGCAUUAAGCAUCCCACCUGGGGAGU